GGGAACCCNNAUCCAGCAAUGCCGCGUGUGUGAAGAAGGCCUAAGGGUUGUAAAGCACUUUCAGUGGGGAGGAGGGNUNAUAGGUUAAGAGCUAAUUAUCUGGACGUUACCCACAGAAGAAGCACCGGUNACUCCG
rnacentral:rRNA from 1 species